rnacentral:ncRNA from 3 species
CCUGGUUGAUCCUGCCAGU